GCGGGGCCCAACACCAGGGGAAGCUGUACCCUGGUGGUAAGGACUAGAGGUUAGAGGAGACCCCCCGCACAACAAUAAACAGCAUAUU
rnacentral:lncRNA from 1 species